CCUUUGCAAAGAAAUACAAGAGGGAUAAAAAGCCUUGAAGGUUGAAAUGCAACACAUCUGCCAUGAAAUUGAGCUUCCUUUAGGUUAAAGCCAACUGCAUACAGGCGGUGUGGAUAGCUAAUAAAACUGGAAAGAAAUUUCCCAAAAGCCAGAGUCCAGGAAUGUGGCAAAUGAAGUGAAAGGGCCCUCAAGUCAGAAUUGGAGAGCCCUGGAAAUCUUAUAUUGUCCAUCUUUCACUGAGAAAAGGUCUGUAGUAGAACUGGCUGUGAUACAAAUUAGAUAUUCAUUGCUGAAAUAACUGUUUGACAAGCAACUUUCUCCAUCAUUCUAGAAAAUU